GUGAAAUGUUGGGUUAAGUCCCGCAACGAGCGCAACCCCUAUUGAUAGUUACCAUCAUUACGUUGGGUACUCUAUUAAGACUGCCGCUGACAAGGCGGAGGAAGGUGGGGACGACGUCAAGUCAUCAGGGCCCUUACGACCAGGGCUACACACGUGCUACACUGGGUAUUACAGAGGGCUGCGAAGGUGCGAGCUGGAGCGAAACUCAACAAGGUACUCUUAGUCAGGAUUGCAGUCUGCAACUCGACUGCAUGAAGUCGGACUC
rnacentral:rRNA from 1 species